CAGGUAAACAGACAGGUAGACAGACAGACAGACAGACAGGCAGACAGGUAAACAGACAGGUAGACAGACAGACAGACAGACAGACAGACAGGUGUUUGUGUCUCACCGGCUGCAGACCCUCGGCCAUCUCUCCGGAGCCGAUGUGUGUGAGGUGGAUGAAGUUUGUCGGCUCUCCGAUCAUACUGCGGUCAAUCUUUCUCCUCUUCUUCUUCUACACACACAGACACAUACACACACACACGGACAGACACACACACACACACACACACACACAGACACACACACACACACACACACACACACACACACACACACACAUACACACACA